rnacentral:rRNA from 1 species
AUUGAACGCUGGCGGCAGGCCUAACACAUGCAAGUCGAACGGUAACAGGGAUCAGCUUGCUGAUUCGCUGACGAGUGGCGGACGGGUGAGUAAUGUCCGGGAAACUGCCUGAUGGAGGGGGAUAACUACUGGAAACGGUAGCUAAUACCGCAUAACGUCGCAAGACCAAAGAGGGGGACCUUCGGGCCUCUUGCCAUCGGAUGUGCCCAGAUGGGAUUAGCUAGUAGGUGGGGUAACGGCUCACCUAGGCGACGAUCCCUAGCUGGUCUGAGAGGAUGACCAGCCACACUGGAACUGAGACACGGUCCAGACUCCUACGGGAGGCAGCAGUGGGGAAUAUUGCACAAUGGGCGCAAGCCUGAUGCAGCCAUGCCGCGUGUAUGAAGAAGGCCUUCGGGUUGUAAAGUACUUUCAGCGGGGAGGAAGGGAGUAAAGUUAAUACCUUUGCUCAUUGACGUUACCCGCAGAGGAAGCACCGGCUAACUCCGUG